CUAACUUCUUUAGAUCGCAUUCUCCCAAUCACAUAUUCCUUGGACUUAUCGUUUAAGCAUAUAACAUUUAUAUAAGACGGCUCAAACAAUAAUCUUUGCCCUUGAUAUUAAACUAGAUUAGUUUAACAUGUGAAAUGUCCGUAAAGUAUCAUCAUAUGAUUGGUUUUAGGGCACAUUUCCAACAGACUCCAGAUUUCUUGGGAACAACUUGAACCCACGAAACCCAACAACUAUCCGAAAUCGGGUAGAUGACUCCACAAUCAAGAACCUUGAUAAUCUCCUUUUUCACAACUUCCAUCAUUAGAGGGUUGAGUCGGCGUUGAGUCUCUUGAGUUGGUUUAGCCCCCUCCUUUAGAAGUAUGUGAUGCAUGCAAGUUGUAGGGCUAAUUCCCUUAAUGUCAGCCAAUGUCCAUCCAAUAGUUGUUUUGUGCUCUUUCAACACCCAAAUAAGUUUCUCUUCCUCCUUUGCCAUGAGUGAUGAAGAGACUAUGAAUGGCAACGUC
rnacentral:lncRNA from 1 species